rnacentral:rRNA from 1 species
UACGUAGGGUGCGAGCGUUAAUCGGAAUUACUGGGCGUAAAGCGUGCGCAGGCGGUUCGUGAUGUCUGAUGUGAAAGCCCCGGGCUCAACCUGGGAACUGCAUUGGAAACUAGCGGGCUGGAGUGUGGCAGAGGGGGGUGGAAUUCCACGUGUAGCAGUGAAAUGCGUAGAGAUGUGGAGGAACACCGAUGGCGAAGGCAAUCCCCUGGACCUGUACUGACGCUCAUGCACGAAAGCGUGGGGAGCGAACCGG